rnacentral:siRNA from 1 species
CGUCAGUUGCAUUUGUGAUCGU